GACGAACGCUGGCGGCGUGCUUAACACAUGCAAGUCGAACGGUAAGGCUCGGCAUUUGUGCCGUGCUCAUGUGCCGCGAAGGGGAGUGUCACGUGAGGAGCCUGCCCCUGACAUUGGGGGACCAUCAGUGGACUGGAGCGAUUACCGCACAUAAGCUCUUGCAACAUAGUGUGUAAUUGUGAGAGACGGAGGUUCGGGAUUGACUCGCGGUCUAUCAGCUUGUUAGUGGGGUAGUGGGUUACCAAGGCAUUGACGGGUAGCCGGCCUGAGAGGGUGACCGGCCACAUUGGGACUGAGAUACGGCCCAGACUCCGACGGGAGGCAGCAGUGGGGAAUAUUGCACAAUGGGCGGAAGCCUGAUGCAGCAACGCCGCGUGCGGGAUGACGGCCUUCGGGUUGUAAACCGCUUUCGCCUGUGACGAAGCGUGAGUGACGGUAAUGGGUAAAGAAGCACCGGCUAACUACGUG
rnacentral:rRNA from 1 species